CUGGCUCAGGAUGAACGCUAGCUACAGGCUUAACACAUGCAAGUCGAGGGGCAGCAUUAUCGAAGCUUGCUUUGAUAGAUGGCGACCGGCGCACGGGUGCGUAACACGUAUCCAAUCUACCCAUGGCUCAGGGAUAGCCUUUCGAAAGAAAGAUUAAUACCUGAUGGUUUCAUGAGUCCGCAUGGACUUAUGAAUAAAGAUUUAUCGGCGAUGGAUGAGGAUGCGUCCGAUUAGCUUGUUGGCGGGGUAACGGCCCACCAAGGCGACGAUCGGUAGGGGCUCUGAGAGGAGGAUCCCCCACAUUGGAACUGAGACACGGUCCAAACUCCUACGGGAGGCAGCAGUGAGGAAUAUUGGUCAAUGGGCGAGAGCCUGAACCAGCCAAGUAGCGUGAGGGGAUGACUGCCCUAUGGGUUGUAAACCUCUUUUGUUUGGGAAUAAAGUGAGCCACGUGUGGCUUUUUGUAUGUACCUUA
rnacentral:rRNA from 1 species